ACUUUUCACCAUGAAGGGUUCUUCUGGAGGUGUUGGUUUAAUGGGAUUGUGGAAGAGAAUGACUCCAAUAUUUGGAAGUUCUGGUACACCAAUCAGCCACCGUCCAAGAACUGCACACACGCUUACCUGUCUCCGUACCCCUUCAUGAGAGGCGAGCACAACUCGACCUCCUAUGACUCUGCAGUUAUUUACCGUGGUUUCUGGGCAGUCCUGAUGCUCCUGGGGGUAGUUGCUGUAGUCAUCGCGAGCUUUUUGAUCAUCUGUGCAGCCCCCUUCGCCAGCCAUUUUCUCUACAAAGCUGGGGGAGGCUCAUAUAUUGCUGCAGAUGGAAUUUCUUCUCUCUGUUACUCAAGCCUCUCAAAGUCCUUAUUGUCCCAGCCUCUGUGUGAAACGUCUUCAGCCAUCAAUGACAUCUCACUCCUUCAAGCCCUUAUGCCACUGCUGGGAUGGACCAGUCACUGGACCUGCAUUACAGUGGGCUUAUAUUGACGUUUACCUCUACACUUGUAUAUAACUGGUUUUCCCAUUUAGUUGCAAGACAAUUGGAAGCACAGACCAAGACUUACAUUUGUUUUUUAAUGUUUUUCUCAUAAAUGCUUAAUGCCUAAAUGUUUCCGUACUACUCUUCUUUCUAAAUCCUUAUUGUUUAAAAGUUUCUCUCCUACUAUACCAUGCCUUAUAAAUGUUGAUUGAAUGAAUGGAUGAAAUGUAUACCUGCUUAUAUUUCUAAUUAAAGGCAAUUUGGGAUUAUAGUAUUUGUUUUUCCAAAAAUGUUUCCAAUUACCCAUUCCCUUGUCAGUUCCCAUG
rnacentral:sRNA from 1 species